rnacentral:rRNA from 1 species
CACGUAGGCGGAUAGGUCAGUCAGAUGUGAAGCCCGGAGCUUAACUCCGGAACUGCAUUUGAUACUACUUGUCUUGAGUAUGGUAGAGGGGGUGGAAUUCCCGGUGUAGAGGUGAAAUUCGUAGAUAUCGGGAGGAACACCAGAGGCGAAGGCGACCCCCUGGGCCAUAACUGACGCUGAGGUGCGAAAGCGUGGGAGCAAACA